GCUUUAACUCAGUUGGUAGAGUGCGACACUAGUAUCGUCUACGCAUAUUGAUAUGUCGAAGUCACUGGUUCAAAUCCAGUAGGGAGCA